AUUGAACGCUGGCGGCAGGCUUAACACAUGCAAGUCGAGCGGAGAUGAGGUGCUUGCACCUUAUCUUAGCGGCGGACGGGUGAGUAAUGCUUAGGAAUCUGCCUAUUAGUGGGGGACAACAUUCCGAAAGGAAUGCUAAUACCGCAUACGUCCUACGGGAGAAAGCAGGGGAUCUUCGGACCUUGCGCUAAUAGAUGAGCCUAAGUCGGAUUAGCUAGUUGGUGGGGUAAAGGCCUACCAAGGCGACGAUCUGUAGCGGGUCUGAGAGGAUGAUCCGCCACACUGGGACUGAGACACGGCCCAGACUCCUACGGGAGGCAGCAGUGGGGAAUAUUGGACAAUGGGCGGAAGCCUGAUCCAGCCAUGCCGCGUGUGAAGAAGGCCUUUUGGUUGUAAAGCACUUUAAGCGAGGAGGAGGCUACCUAGAUUAAUACUCUGGGAUAGUGGACGUUACUCGCAGAAUAAGCACCGGCUAACUCUGUGCCAGCCGCCGCCGUAAUAC
rnacentral:rRNA from 1 species